UGUGUGUGUGUGUGUGUGUGUUCAUAUGGCUGUUUACUCAAUUGGAAUAGUGUCAUCUCAUAGCAUUGGUACAUUCAAGACACAUUAAUGCAUGAACUACUAUCGUCCUAGCAAUGAUGAGAUAGAGGAUAAUUUCUUGGACAAGAAACUCCUAUCUUUGCCUCAUUUGAUUCUAGUGUAUAUAUUGAGUAACUGGUAUUUCAUUGGGGUGGACAAGGUCUGUGGCUGUUGUUGUCGACAAGAACUGUCUGGCUUGCUGCAUUCUGGGUGUUCUGACUAUUACUGAUGGCCAUGUGAAAAAUGUGAGAGCGUUACCUGGGCCAUCAAGCUACACCUGGUACUGAAAUAAUCCAGGUAGCCAAGCAUGGUGUUUGGCCUUUUGUUGGCUAUGCCACAUUACUGGUUGAUGACACUUGAAAGACACCAUGUAUUUGAGACAACAGCAAAAUCAACAUGGUCCUUAAUACUUCUAAAAUGAUCUGUUGCCAGCCAGCUGACAGUUGUUUGGCUGAAAUUCUUUGUCAACAUUAUUAAUUAACAAUGAGUUGAUGUCUGCUACUUGUUAUGAGUUCAUUUGAAGCCAUGCUCUAACUAGAAGGAGGAGUCAUGAUCAGUGAAACCUGCACUACUACAGAAAUGGGAGUGAUGAAAGUAGUCUUAGUUGCUAGUUGUACCAAGAGGAC